rnacentral:hammerhead_ribozyme from 1 species
AUCCAGCUGACGAGUCCUAAAUAAGACGAAAGGUGAGUCCUAAAU